rnacentral:antisense_RNA from 1 species
GGAAAGGGGAAAUGUCUGAAAUGGAGAUUGCACAAUCCUGUCUUGAAGCAGAAGACUCAGCUAGAGCACAUCUGGAAACACCCGGCACUCCUCAAUAGAAUUCAAAUGCUAUUUUAAAAGAUGUAAAAUCUGAGCUGCAACACUGAACAAAAGCUGUACUUGCCAGCCAGCAAAGAUGCUACCACUCUGCACAACAGAUAAAACCCAUACAUAUAGGGAAGUCAAAAGAGUCUUUAAGCUACAGUGUU